rnacentral:rRNA from 1 species
AUUGAACGCUGGCGGCAGGCUUAACACAUGCAAGUCGAGCGGAGAUGAGGUGCUUGCACCUUAUCUUAGCGGCGGACGGGUGAGUAAUGCUUAGGAAUCUGCCUAUUAGUGGGGGACAACAUUCCGAAAGGAAUGCUAAUACCGCAUACGUCCUACGGGAGAAAGCAGGGGAUCUUCGGACCUUGCGCUAAUAGAUGAGCCUAAGGCGGAUUAGCUAGUUGGUGGGGUAAAGGCCUACCAAGGCGACGAUCUGUAGCGGGUCUGAGAGGAUGAUCCGCCACACUGGGACUGAAACACGGCCCAGACUCCUACGGGAGGCAGCAGUGGGGAAUAUUGGACAAUGGGGGGAACCCUGAUCCAGCCAUGCCGCGUGUGUGAAGAAGGCCUUAUGGUUGUAAAGCACUUUAAGCGAGGAGGAGGCUACUGAGACUAAUACUCUUGGAUAGUGGGCGUUACUCGCAGAAUAAGCACCGGCUAACUCUGUGCCAGCCGCCGCGGUAA